GAAUUCACUCCCAUUAACUUCAGAUCUUCUCCAAUUGAGCUGCUUUAUUUCACAGGUUCCGAGCCCUGCUCUUGGGGAAAAAAAAAAAAAAAAAAAAAAGCCUCUCUAUUCUUUUUUGCAUAGUAGUGUAAAAGAAUCCCUAACUACUGAACCAUGAUACAGUCUUUCACUGCAACCAGUUUCUGAGGGAGAAAGCUCUAAAUAAUUAUAAAAGUAUAAUGAACAUUGCUACUAAAUGCUAACUAAAUGCCUCAUUGGAAAAUUUGAAAGGCAUUAAUUCAGACAACAGUUUCUCUUUAUCUCCUAUAUUUCCUGGUUCUAAUUCCUCUUUUUUUUUAUUUAUUAGUAUAGUAAUUUGCAUGAAAGAAGCAUCAUUGUUUCUUUAAUAUUCAUUUCCUUUUUCUCAUUUAGGGCAUCAUUCUGCUUCGCUGAAAACAAUGGCAAUCUUACUGGUUGACUUCAGGAAAGUAGGCCUGACAAUGAGAAAUGUUGGAUGUCUUCAAGCCCCACUGAAGUCAGACGUCCGGUAACAGCCCUCAGAGUCCUUUCAGAUCAGAAUCCCUAAAGUGCAACUUCCUUUGUGUGACUUAACAAUUUGCUAUUGCAUAAGUGCUGAUUACGUCAUAAGGGAUUAUGACUUUAUGCACAGAGUAAGCAACAAAGGUAGAUGGAUUUCUAAGUCCACUCUUUCCCCAGUCCUCUCUUUUCAUGCAAAUAGCUCUGAUUAUACCAAAUAGCAAGAGAAAGCAGAAAAUGCAUGUCACAGAAAAGCAAGGUUAUGUUUGGUGUGUGCCAUGUUCAGAAGGAUUCAUUAAAGAGAAAAAGACUCCAGGAUCAUGGCAGGGAGGUCACGGAUGAAGAGAAUAUUCCUUAGAACCAGAACAACUGAAAAACACCAGUUACCAGUAUUCGUGCUUUUUGAGAAGUAAAUAUUCACUACUAUAAAGAGAGAGCUAUCCAAACAACUCCUUUUCCAGAGCACAAUGUAAGAAAGUAUCAUGGGACAAAAAGC
ensembl:lncRNA